rnacentral:rRNA from 1 species
UGGGGAAUAUUGCACAAUGGGCGAAAGCCUGAUGCAGCAACGCCGCGUGAGUGAUGAAGGCCUUCGGGUUGUAAAGCUCUGCCUUUUGGGACGAUAAUGACGGUACCAAAGGAGGAAGCCACGGCUAACUACGUGCCAGCAGCCGCGGUAAUACGUAGGUGGCAAGCGUUGUCCGGAUUUACUGGGCGUAAAGGAUGCGUAGGCGGAUUUUUAAGUGAGAUGUGAAAUACCCGGGCUUAACUUGGGUGCUGCAUUUCAAACUGGGAAUCUAGAGUGCGGGAGAGGAGAAUGGAAUUCCUAGUGUAGCGGUGAAAUGCGUAGAGAUUAGGAAGAACACCAGUGGCGAAGGCGAUUCUCUGGACCGUAACUGACGCUGAGGCAUGAAAGCGUGGGUAGCAAACAGGAUUAGAUACCCUGGUAGUCCACGCCGUAAACGAUGAGUACUAGGUGUAGGAGGUAUCGACCCCUUCUGUGCCGCAGUUAACACAAUAAGUACUCCGCCUGGGAAGUACGAUCGCAAGAUUAAAAACUUAAAGGAA